AACGAACGCUGGCGGCGCGUUUUAAGCAUGCAAGUCGAACGGUAGAAAGGUGCUUGCACCUUUUGAGAGUGGCGAACGGGUGAGUAACACGUAGAUGAUCUACCUUUUAGUCGGGGAUAGCCUGUGGAAACACAGGGUAAUACCGGAUGAGACUGUAUGGCCGAGGCUAUACAGUGAAAGGGGCUAAGGCCCCGCUGAAAGUUGAGUCUGCGGCUCAUUAGCUAGUUGGUGGGGUAAAGGCCUACCAAGGCGACGAUGAGUAGCCGGCCUGAGAGGGUGGACGGUCACACUGGGACUGAGACACGGCCCAGACUCCUACGGGAGGCAGCAGCUAAGAAUCUUCCGCAAUGGUCGAAAGGCUGACGGAGCGACGCCGCGUGGACGAAGAAGGCCGGAAGGUUGUAAAGUCCUUUUUUCAGAGAAGAAUAACGUGUGGAGGGAAUGCCGCACAGAUGACGUUAUCUGAGGAAUAAGCCCCGGCUAAUUACGUGCCAGCAGCCGCGGUAACACGUAAGGGGCGAGCGUAGUUCGGAAUUAUUGGGCGUAAAGGGCGCGUAGGCGGCUGAGCAAGCCUGGUGUGAAAGGCCACAGCUUAACUGUGGGAGUGCGCUGGGAACUGCUUGGCUAGAGUUCAGGAGGGGAAUCUGGAAUUCAUGGUGUAGGGGUGAAAUCUGUAGAUAUCAGGAAGAACAGCUGUGGAUGAAGGCGAGAUUCUGGCCAUG
rnacentral:rRNA from 1 species